UCCUUCUGAGGGGGUACAUCUACAGAACUGUGUUCUUCAGACGGCACGUUAUCCUAGCAUGCAUCUCUGGUCAUCAACACCACACCCAGAUCAUUAAGGCAACAAUCAUGCAAUGUGACUGCAACGUUUGGAGAGUAGAAAGGAAGUGGGCAAUAGGUGUAAGAGGAUCUCAUGUCUGUAGCUCUGUCAAGGGGAGGCAAGAUUAAUGGUUUAUUUCUCUAAAAAAUACUUUAUACCUGUAAAUAUUUGGAAAAUUUAUAAAAGUGGUCUGAGGUAAGGGAUAUCAGUUUUUACGAUAUUCUGGUUAAAUUUGGUUACCAAACAUGAUGGUUAUAAGAUUAUUGUACAGUUCUAAGCCUUGUUUAUUGCUAGUCAAUUUGUUUGAUUAUUAGUUCUGUACAUAAACCAACGGCAACAAACUACUAGAUCGACUCAAGGUAAGUCUGUUGGCUGUAUUUUGAAAUGAGACGAUCGACCCCAAGAUCUUCAUCCUCGUUCAGCUCAAGGUGAGGUGCUGGUUACGUUACUUAUUGCUGGUUUGGUUUGUACUGGAAUGUUGGUAUUCCAGUUGGAAGGUGUUGAGCUUUCUGCAGAGGUCUGUUAGUUGUUUGCAGUUUGCAGAACAAUGGAGGCCAAUAUGGGCACUUAAUUUGGUUUCCUUUAUGGUUGGCAUUGAUUUCAUAAAACAUUCUAGCACCAAAGUCAGUAGUUGGUUGGCUGUUGAGUCACCUGAUCAGGGGAGCUGGCAUUAUGACUAGGAUUGGCAUUGCGUGACCUCAUCACUAACGAGGGUACCCUAUUGGGUCAUCUGGCAGUACGAUCAGGAUUGGCAUUUGCGUAACCUCAUCACUAAUGUGUUCACACUAUUGGGUCCUCUGGCAGUACCUGAUUUAUAUCUGUAACCAUCUGGCAUCUUUGUCUUGUGCUUUAGGUAGGGCAUAAUUCUAAAACCUUAAAUUAGUUGACGAAUUUCUCUUGCGUUUAUAAUUUUACCGACGACUUGGCUAACUGCGCUAUACUUUUAAGUCAACUGCAUACCGAAAUCGAAAUACUCUUGCGCGCACAUUUUUGAGUUGCGAAUAUGAAUGGAGCAAAUUUGGCUUUUUCAUACUACGGAAGACGAUCAUCCCAGCAGCUGAAUGUGGCUAAGUAUCAUUUUACUAUUAUAGUAACUAUUGAUUGAACUAUUGAUGCUAGUGAGGUAAAUAUCUGGGAUGUGAGUCAGUUAAACCCUACCAAAUUGCAAGGAAUUACUUUUUUACUAUACUUUUGUGGCGAACAGUAGUGUCACCUUCCGAAAUUAAACAACAGCUAAAAUCAUGGAACCAUGUCCCACAUGCUUAUACAGUAAUGUCGACUAAAUAACUGUACAGAGCUGAACUUGUCCCUGUAGUUUGUGUCCCAAGGUGUCUGCCUCCACACCCAGCUCCACACCUCCCUGCUGUCACCACUGGUCUAAGAAGUCCAUAACGGUUCGGAUCUCCUGGGCAAGGCAUGGGGCACCAGGAUGGACCGAGGCUGAUCACCAAGCUGUUCUGAAACGCCAAAGGCCAGAGAUUAUUAUCUUAGUUUUUUGUUUUUCCUUAUUAGUAGUUCUGAUUUUAAUUCUGUGAUUUGAGGUAAUAUCUUGGGUGAUCCGAGUAGUGAGCUGUUUUUGCCCCUAUUGCUGCUACUAUAGUUUAUACAUUACUCAAUACGUUGACAUGUAAACUUAAAGUUGGAUAUUUGUUACCGCUUUACAAGUGCAAGGGUUUUUGUUACCAGAUGUUUUGACCGAACUAUCACUGUUACCAGACAUUGUGGUGAAACAGUCUUAUUGUUUUCCAGAAUAGGAGCCGUGGCGGAGGGCAGCUAAUGGCGAUCAGUGCUGGAGGACCUGCUGGGGAAGGACAUCCCUCGUGGGGGUCGAGACAUCAGUCUCCGAGAUGUGAAGGCUGCAGAGGACCCACCAGGAUCCCCUUGGAGGACAGCAAUGGGACUGCUUGAGGUCUUUGGAAGCACUUCAGUUCAGAAUGCCUUCCAAAGAAUGAAGCCCACCCACCCAUGGCUCAGCUAAUGGCGUUCACCGGACCAGGAACCCCGAGACCUGACGGAGGAGCCGUGCAUCUGGAGGAACACCAUGGGCUACCCGCCAAGUAUUACUCGAUCUCCUGGGCAAGGCAUGGGGCACCAGGAUGGACCGAGGCUGAUCACCAAGCUGUUCUGAAACGCCAAAGGCCAGAGAUUAUUAUCUUAGUUUUUUGUUUUUCCUUAUUAGUAGUUCUGAUUUUCAUUCUGUGAUAUGAGGUAAUAUCUUGGGUGAUCCGAGUAGUGAGCUGUUUUUGCCCCUAUUGCUGCUACUAUAGUUUAUACAUUACUCAAUACGUUGACAUGUAAACCUAAAGUUGGAUAUUUGUUACCACUUUACAAGUGCAAGGGUUUUUGUUACCAGAUGUUUUGACCGAGCUAUCACUGUUACCAGACAUUGUGGUGAAACCGUCUUAUUGUUUUCCCAGAACAGGAGCCGUGGUGGAGGGCAGCUAAUGGCGAUCAGUGCUGGAGGACCUGCUGGGGAAGGACAUCCCUCGUGGGGUCGAGACAUCCGUCUCCGAGAUGUGAAGGCUGCAGAGGACCCACCAGGAUCCCCUUGGAGGACAGCAAUGGGACUGCUUGAGGUCUUUGGAAGCACUUCAGUUCAGAAUGCCUUCCAAAGAAUGAAGCCCACCCACCCAUGGCUCAGCUAAUGGCGUUCACCGGACCAGGAACCCCGAGACCUGAAGGAGGAGCCGUGCAUCUGGAGGAACACCAUGAGGCUACCUGCCAUUUUGACUCACUUCCACGAGGAGGGGAGCUGAAGGCUGGAGGACCUCCCUGCUGGUGGGGCGAGUGACACCCAACUCUACAGGGCUGACCACGGAGGAGAGAGUGCUGAAGCUGUGCAUCCUGAAGGCACGGUUGAAGUGCUGUGUUCAGUCUGGGAAGGACACACCUGAGCUGUUUCACACCUGAAUCUCUUAACCGCUAAAGCCCUUCAGUGACCAACAAAUGGUGCCUCAUCACAGCUCAUCAUCGCUGGCCUGUGGAUUCAUCUCCUACACUCACACAACGUGACUUUGUCACCAUCUGCUGCACGUUGGGAUGCUAACGUGUUCCACCAGGGGUUCCUUCCUUCCCACCGUGGGAGUGUUCCUUGUCCUUUGAGGAGUUAGGGUUCAGUGUUAGGGACAGAGUUAGGGAGAGAUGGUUGAGUCCUGGCUGGUUCACGAUGAACCGCUCUAAUGGUUUUUCAAAUUGUGUUUGGAUGCAACGCUUUGCCAAAAUGUUUCAAUGUGCAAACACUCACAUGCAUAAAAUGUAUACCAAGUGUGUUUGUAAAAUAAAUUCAGAUAAA